CUCCAGGCCGCUUGGACGGGGCUUGGAGCCGCCCGGUCUAAUGGAACGGGAUGGGCUUGAAGGUCCCUUCCAACCCAAAGCGUUCUGGCGUCCCGUGGAAAUCCCAGGGGACGAAGGUGUGAGUGUGAAGCAGGUUGGCUCUCGACCCUGCGGGACGCCAGGAUCUGUCUGGAGAGCAGGGAGGUCUUGCCCACCCUAGAGGUGCAAAGCUCUGCACCUUCAGUGCUCUUUCUUGGGUGGGUUCUGCACACCUUCCUUCUGCUGCAUGGGCUGCCCUGGAAAUCACCGUGGAAACGGUGCCAAACACGGUGGGGAUGCGGCUUCGCAGUUCCGAGAAGGUGCCCACAUUGCCAGGGAGCCAUAGCAGAGCCAUCAAGGGGGCAUAGCCACGAUUUCCUCCUGCAGCCUCACUCUGCGAUUAACUACACAGGGAGGUUGUAGGCAAGUAUUUGGGUUGCUGGUUUGCUCCUGUUUGGAAGGGUGUGGAGACAAUCCAGCACCUGAAAAUAUUUUUCCUUGGAAAACCAAGGGGAGAAAUAUCUACACCAUUUUUGUCGCGCUAUCCUGUCUUCCACCCCUCACUCUCAUCACCGCGAGUUGACAAGUCGGUCCUGCCUCCACCUCAUGCAAGUGACAAGCCAGAUGAAUGGGAAGGCUUCCUGAUCAGCUAAUGCAUUUGUGUGGAGAGAACGUGGCAGCACACCAGUUUUAUGUAUAUGAAUUAGGGAGUGGGAGGACAAGAGCUACAAACCUCGAGAAAUACAGUGCUCUUGCCGAGCAGUGCGUGGAUGGCUGCAGGUGCUUGUGUGACUCCAAUGCUCAGCAUACCAACGCACAGAGGCUUUUCAGCUGCUCGUCCAUUUCAGAAAAAAAACAAACCUGGGAGAGCAAAAAGCAAAUACAAAUUAAAAGCUGGUCUUUAUUUCGCAGAGACCUCGGCAAAUUGCUCAGACAUGAAGCCUAUAAACAUAGAACAGCUCCAAAGACAGAUGCUUGGUUUAAAAAUGGCAGUAGUGGGAUUUGAUUAAACCACCAGAUCAGCAGCAGAGCUUCACAUCUCCAGCCUGAGCACAGAACCUUGGAGGACCCAGGGACGUGGCAGAAGGUGUCAGGGGGUCACAGGUAUGUUUAAGAAGGAGUACUACUAAAAUUGUUCCUGGAACUGUGUUUUCUUGCACUUUGGAUCAGAUGUUGCAGAUUAUUGUGAUAUCUGCUGAACUAUCCUAGGGGACUUUUGCAGAGUUGGAUCCAAAUAAUCAAUCUCAUAAAUUCUGUUGUGAAACAAAGGCUGAAUUCACUCAUUUUUAGGGAUGGCACAGAACCUGGCCCACAGACCCACCCAUUCCUUCUAUUGUAAUUCAUCAUAAAUUGCAAGAACGUUGUGUCUUUCAGCUCUGAGGACCCCACUCGGUGCAGAGGGUCUUCCUUCUCCUGCAAGGCUGGCAGACAAGUCACCAUUGCAUUUCAGAGUGUUCAGUACAGGAAAGGGUGAACUUGAGUUUGGUUUGAGGUGUUAUAAGGCUCAAUUUCUUUUUUUAGUCCUUUCAAAGAGCAUCUUGAGUGAGGGCAGAGUGUUUCAGAUUGUCCUUCAGAGCUGAGCAAACGAUCAUCUUAAAGGAAAAAUAUUGUCAUUCCUUGCCACGUAAGGGACAACAGCUUGGCCUAGAUUCUAUUAUUCCUUUUAAUAUAUUAAAUAUUCUUUGGCUUAGUCAUGGGAAGCAAAGCAACACAACUGCUUUCUAAUAAAUAAAAUGUGCUCAGAAGCA
rnacentral:lncRNA from 1 species